AGCGAACGCUGGCGGCAUGCUUAACACAUGCAAGUCGCACGAAGGUUUCGGCCUUAGUGGCGGACGGGUGAGUAACGCGUAGGUAUCUAUCCAUGGGUGGGGGAUAACACCUGGAAACAGAUGCUAAUACCGUAUAACAACGAAAACCACAUGGUUUUCGUUUGAAAGAUGGCCUUUGUGCUAUCGCUUUUGGAUGGAUCCGCGGCGCAUUAGCUAGUUGGUGAGAUAAAGGCUCACCAAGGCAAUGAUGCGUAGCCGACCUGAGAGGGU
rnacentral:rRNA from 1 species